rnacentral:lncRNA from 1 species
UUGUUGGAAGGGAAGUAGACAAGACUAUCAUGUUCAUUGAAUCUCUAAAUCGUUGAACUCGCGAUUCAAAGGGUGCUCCCAAAUGUCCUACUUCAUCAUAUGGUGGUGGUGCAGCCACCUCUCACCAAAGGGGGAGAUAUGUCCUACUUCAUCCUGUGAUGGUUUCUCUCUGUACUAGUUCGUUUUGUAACUUUCUGAGGUUAUUAGGUUAUGUGGAUUAUAUGGCUGUGCGUUUCUCUUCAAUAGGAGAAGAAUGGCUAUUCUCUCUCUCUCUCUCUCUCUCUCUCUCUUCAAUUGAUGAUGAUGCAGGGCUACAGUUGCUUAAAGUCUUCUGUAGAGGGACUUGAUAGGAUGAUAAUGGUGAUGAUAUCGUCGGAAAUGGAGGUUAAAGAUAAGAGAUAUCAAGGGAGGAAGUUUCAGCUUUAGAGAGAGAAAGACAAGGUGAGGAUUUCUUAUGGGAGAAAGAUAGGAUAAGAUGAAUAGUAUUUUUAUAGGAUUUGUCUUUCCAUGAUCAUAUUCUCUCCAAGAACAAUUAUGAUGGCUAGGGUGGAUAAAAGAGAUGGUAAAUAAUAUAUACUGUUUGUUAGGAAUCCAAUGGUAGCCUCAUCUCCUUUUGUUCUGGAUCUUUUUCACUAUUUAGAUGCAAUUUUAUUUCUUCCUCUCAAUUGUUUGGUAUCCCUUGGUUUUAUCUUCGUUCUUGUUUUACACUUUGGUCUUUUUAUAUUAUUUUUUUAUAUUUUUUAAAUUAUUUUGAAAAAGACAAUAUUAAUACCAGACUUGAUAAAAAAAUUAAUCAAUAAUUUUAAAAUGAAUGCGUUAAUAACUAGACGUGUUGAAAAUAAAUUUUAAAAUUUUAAAUUCUUUUAAAAAGACGUUACAAAUUAUGACAACGAUGUAAAUGCGUCAAAAAUAUUUAGUUAUACAUGAAUAUACAAGUAAAAUUCACUUUAAUUCUAUCAAUUUCUGAAAAGCAUUAAAGUCUUGAAACAUUAAAAUUCACAUUUAUCAUAUAGAAAUAUGAUCAAUCAUCUAAACUAUGACCCACAUCUUUAGUUAUACAUGAAUGAUGAAUAUAUCCAUUGAAUCCGAUCCUCUUCUUUUUCAGGCCAAGUUUUAAUUCAGAUUUUCAUGCUUUACCUUUCUCUUCUGUAUUUCAGACUAUAUGUUUCUUCUUUUUUUGGCUAGUUCGCCAUCAACUUGUCGGCACCAGCUAUUUUAAUAUAUCCUAUCUUGCAAACUUGUCUAAAUUCAUGAAUGAUGAGCCUAUUGGACCUGUGGCCUCCCGUGCUAAUUUUUUUCCAAUCCAUGGCUUGGCUCUUUAUUUUCUUACCUUUUCUUUCUUUUCUUCCAUCAACUCUCUCGCAAGUUUGUCCACAUUUUCUCCCUUGACAUUGCUCUAAAUCUUCAUUCCAAUUCCCCACCUCGCAUGUGUUUGUUUGUUGAUCACCGAAGGAUGGCCAACAAAGCCUAGGCAUGCCAGAAGAAAUGCUCUCAAUUGUUGAACCCCGUCAACAAUGUGUUACCGAACCUCCAAUCUGUUGAUGUUUAAGAACAACUUCUUGUGGACACCAACGAGAUAUAAAGCCCUUCUCUUUAGUUUCUUCAGUGAAUUAUGGUGGCAGUAUUGAGGAGUCGCCAUUGAUCAUCAUGUCAGACCUUAUUAUCCAUAGAAAUGGGUGACCACUUUUAUCAAUUCCCAUUCCAAAUUCAAUGAGCUGCUGCUUUGUAGCGUCCGCUAAGAUGCCAAAAUUCACAUAAAUUACUGAGUUGGGCGUCUUGGAGUCCGGCCAUUAAUUGGAGGCACUCGGCUUCUUCUUUCCAUAGAUUACAUCCAAUUGAAUUCAAAUCAUCUUCUUGCAUUUCAUUGAGAAGUAAUUGAAGUGAACCCAUCUUGUAGGCAUGAGGAAACAUAGAGUGAAGGACUUCUCUUGCUCCGAAGCAUCAAAAGUAAGGAAAAUCCCUUCAGAAGCUCUCUCUGCACAUUCCAAGCACAAGUUAAACAAGCAAUCAUUUGGAUCUGUUGCCCGAACAAAACUUGGAAGAUCCCUUAACCUUAUGUCUUUCAUUCCUGGAAUAUUACAUUCGAGGUGUUGUUUGAUAAUACUGCUUAAAUACAAUACACUAUCAACUUGGAACUUGGAUUGGAUUGGAUUGGAUUGAGGUGUGAAAUUACAAAUAAUAAAACUUUAUAAAAGAGUUAAACAAAAAAACUAAGAAAUUUUAAGAAUAAAGAUCAAAUUAAAAACACCAAUAAACGAUAAAAAAUUAAACAUGUAAAAUUUUUUAACGUG